rnacentral:rRNA from 1 species
CGGACGGGUGAGUGAUGUCUGGGAAACUGCCCGAUGGAGGGGGAUAACUACUGGAAACGGUAGCUAAUACCGCAUAACGUCGCAAGACCAAAGAGGGGGACCUUCGGGCCUCUUGCCAUCGGAUGUGCCCAGAUGGGAUUAGCUAGUAGGUGGGGUAAAGGCUCACCUAGGCGACGAUCCCUAGCUGGUCUGAGAGGAUGACCAGCCACACUGGAACUGAGACACGGUCCAG